CCGGGUGUAGCGCAAGAGAGUCAGAGCGCCCGGCCCAAGCCCGGGAAGCCGCAGGUUCAAAUCCUGCCACCCUGA
rnacentral:tRNA from 1 species